rnacentral:rRNA from 1 species
GGUGAACGCUGGCGGCGUGCCUAAUACAUGCAAGUCGAGCGAACGGACGAGAAGCUUGCUUCUCUGAUGUUAGCGGCGGACGGGUGAGUAACACGUGGAUAACCUACCUAUAAGACUGGGAUAACUUCGGGAAACCGGAGCUAAUACCGGAUAAUAUUUUGAACCGCAUGGUUCAAAAGUGAAAGACGGUCUUGCUGUCACUUAUAGAUGGAUCCGCGCUGCAUUAGCUAGUUGGUAAGGUAACGGCUUACCAAGGCAACGAUGCAUAGCCGACCUGAGAGGGUGAUCGGCCACACUGGAACUGAGACACGGUCCAGACUCCUACGGGAGGCAGCAGUAGGGAAUCUUCCGCAAUGGGCGAAAGCCUGACGGAGCAACGCCGCGUGAGUGAUGAAGGUCUUCGGAUCGUAAAACUCUGUUAUUAGGGAAGAACAUAUGUGUAAGUAACUGUGCACAUCUUGACGGUACCUAAUCAGAAAGCCACGGCUAACUACGUGCCAGUAGCCUCGGUAAUACGUAGGUGGCAAGCGUUAUCCGGAAUUCAUUGGGCUAAACCGCGCGUAUGCCGGUUUUUUAGUCUGAUGUGAAAGCCCACGGCUCACCCUUGGAGGGUCAUUGGAAACUGGAAAACUUGAGUGCAGAAGAGGAAAGUGGAAUUCCAUGUGUAGCGGUGAAAUGCGCAGAGAUAUGGAGGAACACCAGUGGCGAAGGCGACUUUCUGGUCUGUAACUGACGCUGAUGUGCGAAAGCGUGGGGAUCAAACAGGAUUAGAUACCCUGGUAGUCCACGCCGUAAACGAUGAGUGCUAAGUGUUAGGGGGUUUCCGCCCCUUAGUGCUGCAGCUAACGCAUUAAGCACUCCGCCUGGGGAGUACGACCGCAAGGUUGAAACUCAAAGGAAUUGACGGGGACCCGCACAAGCGGUGGAGCAUGUGGUUUAAUUCGAAGCAACGCGAAGAACCUUACCAAAUCUUGACAUCCUUUGACAACUCUAGAGAUAGAGCCUUCCCCUUCGGGGGGCAAAGUGACAGGUGGUGCAUGGUUGUCGUCAGCUCGUGUCGUGAGAUGUUGGGUUAAGUCCCGCAACGAGCGCAACCCUUAAGCUUAGUUGCCAUCAUUAAGUUGGGCACUCUAAGUUGACUGCCGGUGACAAACCGGAGGAAGGUGGGGAUGACGUCAAAUCAUCAUGCCCCUUAUGAUUUGGGCUACACACGUGCUACAAUGGACAAUACAAAGGGCAGCGAAACCGCGAGGUCAAGCAAAUCCCAUAAAGUUGUUCUCAGUUCGGAUUGUAGUCUGCAACUCGACUACAUGAAGCUGGAAUCGCUAGUAAUCGUAGAUCAGCAUGCUACGGUGAAUACGUUCCCGGGUCU